rnacentral:lncRNA from 1 species
UUAGCCUUGACUUGAGUACUCCUUCUGUAUUAAGAGACCAGCAAUGAAAUGAUCUUGGUGAAAUCAGUUCCUAUUUUCCCCUCACUCUUGACUCGACUUUUGACCCUUUGGGACACGCUUGGGAUGCCAAAGUUGUGUGUGAAGCUUGUGCUGUAGCCGCACGCAAAGUUUCCGCUCUUUUGGGUCUGUCCAAAACUUGGCUGACCCAGGGUCACAAGGUCGG